CUGGCGGCGUGCCUAAUACAUGCAAGUCGAACGGUCUUUCUAUGGAAGCUUGCUUCCACUGAGAAGAUAGUGGCGAACGGGUGAGUAACACGUGGGUAACCUGCCCAUAAGAGGGGGAUAACAUCCGGAAACGGGUGCUAAUACCGCAUAGUUUUCUUGAUCGCAUGAUUGAGAAAGGAAAGACGGCCUUUGUGCUGUCGCUUAUGGAUGGACCCGCGGCGUAUUAGUUAGUUGGUGAGGUAACGGCUCACCAAGACGAUGAUACGUAGCCGACCUGAGAGGGUGAUCGGCCACAUUGGGACUGAGACACGGCCCAAACUCCUACGGGAGGCAGCAGUAGGGAAUCUUCCGCAAUGGACGAAAGUCUGACGGAGCAACGCCGCGUGAGUGAAGAAAGGGUUUUCGGAUCGUAAAACUCUGUUGUCAGAGAAGAACAAGUUGGAGAGUAACUGCUCCAGCCUUGACGGUAUCUGACCAGAAAGCCACGGCUAACUACGUGCCAGCAGCCGC
rnacentral:rRNA from 1 species